CCCUAACUCCAAUAAUAACUAAAAUCUCAAAAAAUUACAACCAAUCAAUUGCUGUUGGAAAAUUCACAUCAAUUGCUGCAACCAUGGUGGGAUUUGGGAGUGAGUGGGUGAGGAAAAUUCGUGCACCAUGUGCUACUUGUUAUGACUGAGUUGCUUUUUGGAUUUUGUUUGUUUUUAAGUUUAUUGAUAUUGCCUUUACCUUCCACUUUUAUUGCAGUAACAAAAGUUGUGUGAAAACUUGAAUUUUUGUUGCGUGAUUUUUUUUUACUGCAAUGGGUUGUGUAAUUUUGUGUAUGCUGCAUAACUUGUUUUGACAUAUUGCAUUGCCUAACUUGUUUGAAUAAGUUUAUUUUGUCAUGGCCUUGGUGUGUGAUUGCUGCAGUAAUUGUGUUGUAAACCAUUUACAAAACUUUUGAUGAAAGUUGUAUUGGUCUCCAUUGUCCUUGUUGCGUGUGGUGCCAUGUGAGUGCAUGCUGCAUAAUUUUGUUUAGGCCAUAGGUCAUUCUUGUAUUGCCUAUCCUUGUUUGGUUGGAACUUUGAACCAAUUUUCUUCCUUUGGUGUUAGGUUUCAUUGAUGAUGGUCAAGACACGGCAUAGUGGUGGAUCCAAAGAGGAAUGGAAUGGUUUCAAGGUGGCUUGGUGAUGAAGCAAGGAUGCAACUUGGAGAUAACUUGAUGAUGA
rnacentral:lncRNA from 1 species